rnacentral:rRNA from 1 species
CUACGGGGUGCACCAGUGGGGAAUCUUGGACAAUGGGCGCAAGCCUGAUCCAGCCAUGCCGCGUGAGUGAAGAAGGCCUUAGGGUCGUAAAGCUCUUUCGCCAGAGAUGAUAAUGACAGUAUCUGGUAAAGAAACCCCGGCUAACUCCGUGCCAGCAGCCGCGGUAAUACGGAGGGGGUUAGCGGUGUUCGGAAUUACUGGGUGUAAAGCGCGCGUAGGCGGAUUAGUCAGUCAGAGGUGAAAUCCCAGGGCUCAACCCUGGAACUGCCUUUGAUACUGCUAGUCUUGAGUUCGAGAGAGGUGAGUGGAAUUCCGAGUGUAGAGGUGAAAUUCGUAGAUAUUCGGAGGAACACCAGUGGCGAAGGCGGCUCACUGGCUCGAUACUGACGCUGAGGUGCGAAAGUGUGGGGAGCAAACAGGAUUAGAUACCCCUGUAGUC